AGAGCGAACGCUGGCGGCAGGCCUAAUACAUGCAAGUCGAACGCACCUUCGGGUGAGUGGCGGACGGGUGGGUAACACGUGGGAACGUGCCUUUUGGUUCGGAAUAAUCCGGGGAAACCUGGCCUAAUACCGGAUGUGCCCUUCGGGGGAAAGAUUUAUCGCCAUUAGAGCGGCCCGCGUCUGAUUAGCUUGUUGGUGGGGUAAUGGCCCACCAAGGCUACGAUCAGUAGCUGGUCUGAGAGGAUGAUCAGCCACACUGGGACUGAGACACGGCCCAGACUCCUACGGGAGGCAGCAGUAGGGAAUCUUGCGCAAUGGGCGAAAGCCUGACGCAGCCAUGCCGCGUGAAUGAUGAGGGUCUUAGGAUUGUAAAAUUCUUUCAGCGGGAAGAUAAUGACUGUACCCGCAGAAGAGCUCCGGCUAACUUCGUGCCAGCAGCCGC
rnacentral:rRNA from 1 species